UACGUAGGGGGCGAGCGUUGUCCGGAUUUAUUGGGCGUAAAGAGCUCGUAGGCGGCUCGAUAAGUCGGACGUGAAAUCUCCACGCUCAACGUGGAGGGGCCGUUCGAUACUGUCGUGACUCGAGUCCGGUAGGGGAGUGUGGAAUUCCCGGUGUAGCGGUGAAAUGCGCAGAGAUCGGGAGGAACACCCGUAGCGAAGGCGGCACUCUGGGCCGGUACUGACGCUGAGGAGCGAAAGCGUGGGGAGCAAACAGGG
rnacentral:rRNA from 1 species